UACGUAGGGGCUAGCGUUGUCCGGAAUCAUUGGGCGUAAAGCGCGUGUAGGCGGUCCGGUAAGUCCGCUGUGAAAGUCGAGGCUCAACCCUCGAAUGCCGGUGGAUACUGUCGGCUCGAAUCCGGAAGAGGUGAGUGGAAUUCCUGGUGUAGCGGUGAAUGACGUAGAUAUCAGGAGGAACACCGGUGGCGAAGGCGGCAUCCUGGACCGACAUUGACGCUGAUGAGCGAAAGCUAGGGGAGCAAACGGG
rnacentral:rRNA from 1 species